rnacentral:rRNA from 1 species
AGCGAACGCUGGCGGCAGGCCUAACACAUGCAAGUCGAACGAAGUCUUCGGUCUUAGCGGCGGACGGGUGAGUAACACGUGGGAACGUGCCUUUAGGUUCGGAGUAACUCAGGGAAACUUGUGCUAAUACCGAAUGUGACCUGCGGGGGAAAGAGUUAUCUCCUUUUGAGCGGCUGGCGUCGGAUUGAAUGGUUGGGGAGGUAAAGGCUCACGAAGGCGAGGAUCAGGAGCUGGUCUGAGAGGAUGAUGAGCCACAUUGGGACUGCGACACGGCCCAGACUCCUACGGGAGGCAGGAGUGUGGAAUGUUGCGAAGUGGGGUAAAGGCAGAAGCUGCCAGGACGGGUAAAUGAUGUAGGUAUAAAGAUUGUAAAAGUCUUUCACCGGGGACGAUAAUGACGGUACCCGAAGAAGAAGCCCCGGCUAACUUCGUGCCAGCAGCCGCAGUAACAC